rnacentral:piRNA from 1 species
GACCAUGCUGUGUCCUGUGUUCAUGGGUC